rnacentral:rRNA from 1 species
UAGCAAUACCUAGUGGCGGACGGGUGAGUAACGCGUGGGAAUCUGCCUUUAGAUGGGGGAUAACGGGUCGAAAGACUCGCUAAUACCGCAUAUGACGAAAGUUGAAAGGAGUAAUCCGUCUAAAGAUGAGCCCGCGUCCGAUUAGCUAGUUGGUAGAGUAAAAGCCUACCAAGGCGACGAUCGGUAGCUGGUCUGAGAGGAUGAUCAGCCACAAUGGGACUGAGACACGGCCCAUACUCCUACGGGAGGCAGCAGUGGGGAAUUUUACGCAAUGGGCGAAAGCCUGACGUAGCGACACCGCGUGAGCGAAGAAGCCCCUUGGGGUGUAAAGCUCUGUCAGCUGGAACGAAAAAAAUGACGGUACCAGCAGAGGAAGCAUCGGCUAACUACGUGCCAGCAGCCGCGGUAAGACGUAGGAUGCAAGCGUUGUCCGGAUUUAUUGGGCGUAAAGAGUUCGUAGGUGGUUUGUUAAGUUUGGUGUUAAAGAUUGGGGCUCAACCCUGAAACUGCACUGAAUACUGGCAGACUCGAGUGUGGUAGAGGCUAGUGGAAUUCCCAGUGUAGCGGUGAAAUGCGUAGAUAUUGGGAAGAACACCGGUGGCGUAGGCGACUAGCUGGGCCAUAACUGACACUGAGGAACGAAAGCCAGGGGAGCGAAUGGGAUUAGAUACCCCAGUAGUCCUGGCCGUAAACGAUGGAUACUAGGCGUAUCGGGUAUCG